GAUGAACGCUAGCGGCAGGCCUAAUACAUGCAAGUCGAGGGAGAAUGUUGGAUUCGUCUGACAAGAAACCGGCGCACGGGUGCGUAACACGUAUGCAACCUACCUUUAACUGGGGUAUAGCUCAGAGAAAUCUGAAUUAAUCCCCCAUAAGACUACGACAUGGCAUCAUGAUGUAGUUAAAGCUCCGGCGGUUAAGGAUGGGCAUGCGGUACAUCAGCUAGUUGGUGAGGUAAUGGCUCACCAAGGCUACGAUGUAUAGGGGGUCUGAGAGGAUGAUCCCCCACACUGGUACUGAGACACGGACCAGACUCCUACGGGAGGCAGCAGUAGGGAAUAUUGGUCAAUGGACGCAAGUCUGAACCAGCCAUGCCGCGUGAAGGAUGAAGGCCCUAUGGGUCGUAAACUUCUUUUAUUAGGGAAGAAAAAACGGGAUGCGUCCUGUACUGACGGUACUUAAUGAAUAAGGAUCGGCUAACUUCGUGCCAGCAGCCGCGGUAA
rnacentral:rRNA from 1 species